AGCAGCCGCGGUAAUUCCAGCUCCAAUAGCGUAUAUUAAAGUUGUUGCAGUUAAAAAGCUCGUAGUUGAAUUUCGGGGUUAGUAGGUUGGUCAUGCCUCUGGUAUGUACUGGUCUCACUGAUUCCUCCUUCCUGAUGAACCUUAAUGCCAUUAAUUUGGUGUUUUGGGGAAUUUGGACUGUUACUUUGAAAAAAUUAGAGUGUUUAAAGCAAGCUAACGCUUGAAUACAUUAGCAUGGAAUAAUGAAAUAGGACGUUCGAUCCUAUUUUGUUGGUUUCUAGGAUUGACGUAAUGAUUAAUAGGGAUAGUUGGGGGCAUUAGUAUUCAAUUGUCAGAGGUGAAAUUCUUGGAUUUAUUGAAGACUAACUACUGCGAAAGCAUUUGCCGAGGAUGUUUUCAUUAAUCAAGAACGAAAGUUAGGGGAUCGAAGACGAUCAGAUACCGUCGUAGUCUUAACCAUAAACUAUGCCGACUAGGGAUCGGAUGAUGUUAAUUUUUAAUGACUCAUUCGGCGCCUUAC
rnacentral:rRNA from 1 species